GACUUGUUGCUGGAAGGUGUUUUAUCAUUGGGGAGCCCAGGAGGAAUAAUAUGUUCAUUUGGCUAUUGUAUGGGUUUUAAAACAAAUUUGAUGAGUCAUAGAUGCAUUCAUCCACAUAGACAGCAGCGUGCAUAUUUCAGAGUGUGUGACAGUAUGGGUUUUGGGAAGCAUCUAAUUUUCCCACUUUGUAGAUGUGGUUGUCUCUGAAGUAAUUAACCUGAAACAAUGAAUAUUGCAGUAUUUAAUACCUGUUUGUCAAACCCACAGCUUCAGUCUGUGAGGCUGGAUACAUUAGCAUGCAGAGCUACGAUUAGCACACCUGGUGUUUUUUUCUCUGUGUGUGUGUGUGUGUGUGUGUGUGUGUGUGUCCAUGCAUGAGUGGUGCGUCGGCAGUGCUAUGAAUGGGCAGAGGGGUGUGCUCUCAGAGACACCAUAGCAGCAGUGAGAUGAGGAGUACCAUUUACUCCACUGCACGUCUAUUGAGAGAAGCAAGAAAAGGAGUCUUUACAGUUGCACAACCACAGUACUCCAAAAGACAUCAUCAAAUCCUAAACCUAAUCAGCACUGAACCUUUCCUGAAAAAAUCUUCAAGUCAGCCAUGGAACAGAAGGCAAAUGAGUGCCCCACCACCACCACCUCUCCUCAGAAACACAUGAAGAACAGGUCCAAAUCCACAGAGGAGGUGCAACAGACGAGGAAGGCCUUUUCAUCACAAAAAUCCCUCCCGGGCCGACCAGAGCUGGAGAAGGUGAAGGUGAGCUGUGCACACAUAUUCCCGUAUUUCAAUAUGUAGGACAAUGAUGAUGUUGUGCAUUUCUUUCCACGUCACUGUUUAAAACACAAGAUUUCAAACAGGAAGUGCAACUUGAGUUGGUGCUGUAUUUGUCCAUGUGUUUUUCAGGAGUGUCCUGACGGCUCUGACACGCCGUCAUCCUCCACGGAGGAGCUGAAGUGAUAAAUGGAAGGACAUUACCAUCAAGUUACAAGAUCAUCAUCAACAUAAAUAAAAUGUACAUAUGUACACAGGGAAACAUACACAAUAUUAUUCAGAAUAAUAAUAAAUAAUGAAACACACAAAAAAUGGAUUUAUGAUUGGUUGAAGAAAACUCUUUCAAAAAUGGUAAAUUGAACACACGCAGACUCACGCACACUGAAACAAUCACUUUUAAACACCUGUGAUGAUGCUGUCUCAUUGUACCGUGAGUGUCGUAUAGGCCUACAUACCACACUGAAUGUGUAUUGACAAUAAAGUAAUGCUGUUGAGUGUAGCUGUCUUUACUCUGCUCUCAUUCCCAUCAAACAUCUGGCAAUUUAUGCUUUUUAUAGGUUC
rnacentral:lncRNA from 1 species